GACGAACGCUGGCGGCGUGCCUAAUACAUGCACGUCGAACGCAGUGGGGACGGGUGAGUAACACGUGGGUAACCUCCCAUCAGAGGGGAUAACACUUGGAAACAGGUGCUAAACCGAUACUGAUGGAUGGACCCGCGGUGCAUUAGCUAGUUGGUGAGGUAACGGCUCACCAAGUCCACGAUGCAUAGCACACCUGAGAGGGUGAUUGGACACACGGGGACUGAGACACGGCCCAGAAUCAUACGGUAGGAAGCAGGAGGGAAUCUUCCGCAAUGGACGAAAGUCUGACCGACCAACGGCGCGGGAGGGAAGAAGGUUUUCGGAUCGUAAAACUCUGUGGUUAGGGAAGCGGUAUCUAACCAGAAAGCCACGGCUAACUACGUGCCAGCAGCCGCGGUAAUAC
rnacentral:rRNA from 1 species